rnacentral:lncRNA from 1 species
GUCGAUUGGAAAGGAGAAGAAGAAAAAACACCAUCACUCUGCUGAAAUCCCAAACGAACCUCACACCGAAAAGCUCCACUAAAACUCUGUAUUUCAACUCUGAUUUUCACACUGAAAAUCAGGGUUUGAAGAGCUUGACCCCCCUCAAUCGCGUACGAACAACAACGACGACAAGAGAAUAAAGAAGAAGAUCAGAAUCGGACCGGAUACGGAAGGAGAUACACGAAGAGCAAAGAAACAAAAUUUUACCUGAACGUCUUGGUAGUAUAUCUCUUGCUUUAAAACUUCACUACGCCUAACACGAUUUGAAACUGUAUCUUUUGUCGCACACCGUUAUUUCUGAAAUUCGUAGCUAGAUCUGAUUGAAGUACCCUUUUUAUUUGUUCAUGCUUGUUUAUGCUUGUUCCUCCACUUGAAUCAGAAUAAUCGGUAGAUAUUUAACGAAAAUGGGGGUGGAUUCAAUUUUAGGAGAAAAUUUAAGAUUGGGUUUGUGUUGAGACUUUCGUGUUUGAGGAACGGCACCGCCAGUCUUCUCCGAUGAGAAUGGCGGAACAGGGGAAUAGCCGAACUCAUUUUGUUUUUGUUCUCUUUCUCCGAAUGUGUUCAUUUUUCUUUAUAUUUUAUGAUAAGUUUUAAUAGCCUUAAUUGAGAUUAAAUGUCCUGGCUAUUGCGUUGGUUGAAUAAUCAUUCUGUUUGAAGAUAGAUUCCUGGAUAUACGUGUUUACCAACACAGACUGUUGGUGUACCAAAGCUGGGUGGGCACCACGUGGCCGCAACCCCUUUUCUUUUACUGGUUCAAACGCUGUUCGAUUCGUUUUGAGUUUUUANAAAGAAACAAAAUUUUACCUGAACGUCUUGGUAGUAUAUCUCUUGCUUUAAAACUUCACUACGCCUAACACGAUUUGAAACUGUAUCUUUUAUCGCACACCAUUAUUUCUGAAAUUCGUAGCUAGAUCUGAUUGAAGUACUCUUUUUAUUUGUUCAUGCUUGUUUAUGCUUGUUCCUCCACUUGAAUCAGAAUAAUCGGUAGAUAUUUAACGAAAAUGGGGGUGGAUUCGAUUUUAGGAGAAAAUUUAAGAUUGGGUUUGUGUUGAGACUUUCGUGUUUGAGGAACGGCACCGCCAGUCUUCUCCGAUGAGAAUGGCGGAACAGGGGAAUAGCCGAACUCAUUUUGUUUUUGUUCUCUUUCUCCGAAUGUGUUCAUUUUUCUUUAUAUUUUAUGAUAAGUUUUAAUAGCCUUAAUUGAGAUUAAAUGUCCUGGCUAUUGCGUUGGUUGAAUAAUCAUUCUGUUUGAAGAUAGAUUCCUGGAUAUACGUGUUUACCAACACAGACUGUUGGUGUACCAAAGCUGGGUGGGCACCACGUGGCCGCAACCCCUUUUCUUUUACUGGUUCAAACGCUGUUCGAUUCGUUUUGAGUUUUUAUUCAUCUUUUCAUUUGCUUUUAUUAGAAUAGUUGAUAAUAGUAGUAAUAAUUUGAGUUUUAAUUCAUUUUUUCAUUUGCUUUUAUUAGAAUAUUAUAGUUAAUUAAAUAAGAAAGUUUAAUUACUAAUAUUAAGAAAAUGAUCCUUUUUGUUGUUUCAAAAAAAAUGUAAUUAUCUUGGUCCAACGCUAAGUAUUCCCGUUUAAAGCCCAAUUGACGCUAAUGAAUUCAAAUCCACAUCCUUUCUUUAUCAAUAUAUUCCUCAAAACUGUUAAUUCUACAUUUUUUUGGAUGAAAAGUAGAAUAGUAAGCCUCUGCUUUACCAUCUCUCGACUAUUCGAAUAAUUGGCGUACGCCAUAUUGCUCGGAUCUUCGUCAUUCAAUAAAAACCCUAAUAAUCAUACAAAGUUCAAACCAUUUUUUUUAAAUUAAUAUAAUACUUAAGAAUAUUCUUAACAUAAAUUUUGGGACGAAAAAGACAUAGGAAGCGUUCACUUCACUAUUUCUCAAGCACUUGAAUAAUUGGCGUACGCCAUAUUGCUCGAGUUCUUGUCACCCGAUUAAAACAUCAAACCAUAACAUUUCAAAUCAUUUUUUUAAUCAACUACAAAUUCUACAACCAUUUAAUUCUAAAUUUCCAAUAAUAAAAGGAUAGGAGGCGUACGCCUCACUAUCUUUCGCCUAUUCAAAUAAUUGGCGUAUGCCACAUUGCUCGAAUCUUCAUCAUCAAUUUAAAACGCAAUCGAAUAAACUCAAAUCACCUCUUAUAUCAAAUACAAGUUUACAAAAUAAACUACAUAACUUAAACUUCAAUUGAGAAUGGGAGGCGUUCGCCUCGCCAUUCCUUGAUUAUUUGAAUAAUUGGCGUACGCCAUAUUGCUCAAACAAUCGACUUUCCAAAACCUACCAACCCAAAUUCACAUUAUCUUCGCAAAUCGAAUACAAACAUCUAAAUAUAUCUUUUACAUUAAACUUCGAAUGAUAAAAUAUGGGAGGCGUUCGCCUCACCAUCUCUCGAUUAUUUGAAUAAUUGGCGUUCGCUGUAUUGCACAAAUUAUCGACUUCCGAUUAAGAUACAUUAAAUAAACUUGGAUAAGGGAAUAGGUGGCACUCGCCUCAUUAUUCUUUGAAUAAGCAAGUAGGAGGCGUAUGCCUCACUACCGCGCAUAUUCGACAUCCGCAAACGAACUUUCAAAAUAAUUCGAACGAAAAAAGGAGUAGAAGGCGGUCGCCUUAUUAUUCCUCGAAAGAAUUGGACGAUUGGUGUACCCCAUAUUGCUCAAUCUUUCGUCGUUCUUCAAAAACACCUUAAAAAAUCAACCUAAUUUCUCGCCCCCGCGCGAUCGAACAAAUCAAACAAAAACACCCAAACACAUGAAUACAACUUGUCACCCCCGCGUGACCAAAACCCUUCUCAAAAGAGCACUGCCAAUCCUUUCUAAUGCGCACAACAAACCAGUGCUAGAGCCUCCCCCGAGAGUAGACAAGCCAGCAUUUAGCCGUUAGAACGCCGACCUACACAGUCGUUCAUCAAAACAAAACACACCAAAUAUUCGUAGUAGCCCGAACUACGAAUGCUCUGAUUUCCUUAUUGCACCAUAAGGAUACGUAGGCAGGAGAUUACUGUAUCUUCGCGAGCACACUAAUAAAAAACCUCCCAUUUCCCCCCUGAGGUGCUUCAGUCCAUAUCUAAUCAUCAAUUUAAUUAUCGCAAGUAAGGAAUAACAUUCAAAGCUAAGUCAAUGCAAAUCAGAACUAAAAAGUUCCCGUUGAGUACAACUGGACGUGAGGGGUGAAUACCUUCCCCUUGCGUAAUCGACUCCCGAACCCGAAUAUGGUUGCGACGACCAUUAUUCUUAUUUCUAAAGGUUUUCUCGAUAUUUUCCUAUUCCUUCAUUGGGAUAAAUAAAGUUCGGUGGCGAAUCUGUUUCGAACUAACAUUUUUUCGCGUUCCAUCGCGAGGGAUCGCAUUAGCAUUUUUUCGAGGUGCAACAGACUGGCGACUCUGCUGGCGACCCUGCUCAAAGCAAGAGAGAGUGUAGCCUAACUUAGUCUGAUUUUUCUAUGAUUAUUAGAAGAUAUUCUUUUCUUCCAUGUUGCCUAUCUAUAUCGUAUUAUGAUUGUUUGUAUUGUAUGUCUUGAUACUCUGAUAUGGGACUUGGUGUAUGCUGUGAGAUAAGCUUCACACUCGAGCUUCGAGAAAAACUUACAACCCGGAGUUGUGUAAUAUUGAACCGAGGGGUGUACACCUCAUUGGGACAAUACGAAGACUCCACCUAUAGUAGAUCUGUUUGGAGUUUCCAUCACAAUAUGGCUAGCCCAUUAUUGUGGGGAGGUUCUAAAUACGAUCCGUGACUCUAGGGACCUCGCCUUAAACCCAAGUUUUGUUUUCAUGAUUGGUGAUUAUGUAGUAUUGAACCGAAGGGUCUACACCCUGUUCGAACAAUACGAGAAUCCCACUUAGAUUAGAUCAUUUCAGAACUCCCAUCACGAUGUGGCUAGCCCACCAUUGCGAGGAAGUUUUGAACCUGAUCCGUGAGUCUAAGUUCCUUCCUCGAAAACAUAACUGUAGAACCUACCUUUGGGAAUUUCUAGUAAUCAUAGAAACCUGUGCUUCUUCCAUUUAUCCUGAUGUACUCGACAUGUGGAUAAUUUUGAGUAUGUAUUCCUCUACGAAAAAACAUGGCAAGACUUCAUGCAUUUGCAUAUCAUAAACAUGCAUUGCAUAUCAUUGUCCAGAAAUAAAAACUUACACCAUACUUUACCCUUGUCCAAUAACGCUGACUACUCGACACCGGUACGAGACACGCCGCAAUUACAAGAUGACACUUGAACAGCUGGAAGCAAACCAGGUUUCGAUGAGGACAAAUAUCGACUCCAUGAAGGAAAAGAUGGAUCGUUUGCUUGAGACCAUGUUACUCUUGGCCCAGAAGGAAAAAGAUGUUGAGACCAGUGCCGAAGCCAGAAAAGUUGCUGCUCAGUUUGGAUCACCAUCACUUAGCAUCCCUGGAGUAACUAACCUUGAUGGUAACUGUAACACCCUUCUAAAAUACCCCAAAUUAUUAUAAUUAAAAUAACAAUAUAUUUAUCAGAGUAAUUAUGCCCCGAAGGGUGUCACACAAUCAUUUAACAAAAUUAUCAAGCCUCCUGUCAUGCUCAUUUACUUAAAUCAAAAUAAGGUUCUUUUGCAUAAUUCGCAGCGGAAUAUUUCAACAUCAAUGUAAAACAUGUAACACAAUACAUGUAAAUCAUUCAACAACCAAUAUCAAUUUAAUUAAAACAUCCCCUCCCGAUGUUACAUCUAUCAGAGCAUGACCCAUAAGAACUACUCUAGACUCCAAGCAUUAGCUUCUACUCAACUCAUUUCUCGUUACCUGAAAAAUAGGCGUAAGGGUGAGUUCCUCAAUCAAUAUAACAAGCAUUAUAGAACAACAUGUAAUGCCAAGUAAUUAACACAUUAAUUCACCCUAAUCAGACUACGCAUCCAGCAACAAUUCAACAUCAUACUCAACAGGAGAUUCUCAACCAUAAUCAACAUCAACAACACGUCACACAACAAUACAACACACAACACACAUAUGAUACUGGAAUACAUCCAUUCAUAUCAUAUGCCAUACAUUCAUUAUGCAAUGAGACUCUAUGCAUGCGGUACCGACUAUUUGUGAACAUAUAGUUCAACCUCACCGUCCAAAUCCAGGCACGGCUACCAAGCUCACUAGUCCCACUCAUUUGAGACAUAGUGACUCACUCACUAAUUCCUCACCAUGGGAAUUAGCUACCACCCCAAAUGGGCCAUGAAAUGCACGCUAAUCACCUAGCAUGCAAACAUCAACAACAACAAUCAAAAUGAUUUACUCACUAAUUCCUCACCAUGGGAAUUAGCUACCACCCCAAAUGGGCCACAACAUGCAUGCUAAUCACCUAGCAAUGCAACAUCAACAACAAUCAAGAAUAGACACAUGCUCACACUCUAAGCCAUAAUACAGUCUAUUCACAAACGUAUACAUUCACAUCAUCAUGUAUACCAUCACACAUCAUCAACAUAAUUAAUCACAAAAGCAUAUCAUGUCAUGCCACAAAAGCAAACACAGUAUUAGCACACUCUACUAAUACCUAUGCCACUCAAAACAACGGGAAAUGAUCCCUAUCACAUCAUACCUCAGCUAAGUCGCAUCACUCAGCCUAAACAACCAAAAACUGCACAACAGUAGCACAGCAAAACACAAUUCUGCCCAUACGCGUAUUGCCUCUGCCAUACGCGUAUUGCCCAAACCUGGCCAAACCCAUACGCGUAAUGCCCACUCUCGUACGCGUAUUGCGCAUCUCCUCGCCCAACUCAUACGCGUAUCACCUGUCUCAUACGCGUAUGCUACGCGUAUCAAUCUCCUAUUACGCGUACCAACAGAGAUCAAUUACGUUCAAAAUGUCAUCUUUUUCUCCCAUACGCGUAAGGCUCCCCCCCAUACGCGUACCAACAUCUCAUACGCGUAUUGCCUAGUGCCAUACGCGUAUGACCAGAAACCAGAGCUCACAGAUCUGCAAUGGCUUUCUCUGCCACGAGAUCUACCCAAUUCAACCUUCUACAGUCCAAAUUUUACACACAAUUCAUUCCUAUCAUCUAUCACUAAAUCAUACACUUUCAAUUUUCACAAUUUGCUAACCUUUCCAUCUCAAAUUCCUACGAAUUUCGUCAAUUAUAAUCAAAUUUUCGUUCAUCUCAAAAGUUUCACAAUUCAGCAUAUAUCAUCCAAUCAGAGGUAAAACAAAUGGUUAUUACUACCCAGUACAAUUCAUACCCAUAAUACCGUUAAUUGAUGAUAAACCCCCCCUUACCUUGAGUUAAAUCCAGCAGCUUCCGAGCUCCAAGCUUCCGUCCUCCUUCAACCCUCGUUCUUUUGCUUUUUUGCCCUUCUGCCUCUUUCCUUUUCACCGUGAAAUUAACCUUUUACCAAAAAUGGGAUUUUUCUAAAUUCCAACUAUAUAUUAUUCCAAUAAUUAUUAUUCCAAAAUAAUAAUAAAAUAAUAAUAAUCCAACUUCCAAUUAUUCAAUUAAAUUAAUAAAUAAAGUAUUAAUUUAAAUUAAAUAAUUAGCUUAUUUUAAUUGGGGUGUUACAGUAACCCCUCCCAGCCUAGAGGAGGACCGAUCCCUAUUCCGAUCCCCAUGGACAAAAUGAACCCCCAUGAGCAUUCUGUUACAUCUACUCGACAUGGAUCAAUGAUGGGUGAUGAAGAUCCAUACGGCGCCUUCUUCAUGCCACAACCCACCAAACCUACUGUUGGAGGUCUCCUAGACCCAGCUGUUGAUAGACUUCAUGCUUUGGAGGAAAAGUUUAAGUCCUUGGAGGUUCACAUUACUCCCGGUUUGGACGCUGUUGACAUGUGCCUAGUACCAGGACUCGUGAUUCCACAAAAAUUCAAAACCCCAGACUUUGACAAAUACAAAGGGAUCAGUUGCCCAAGAACCCAUCUCAGAGCUUACUAUCGUAAAAUGGCUGCCCACAUCAGUAAUGAUCAACUCCUGAUUCAUUACUUCCAAGAUAGUCUCAGUGGGGCAUCCUUGGAGUGGUACAUGCAACUAGAGAGAGGUCAGGUCCAGUCGUGGAGAAACCUUGAUGAAGCCUUCCUUAGGCAUUAUCAGUACAACACUGAUCUAGCGCCCAACCGCACCCAGCUGCAAGACAUGACUCAAUGCAACAAUGAGUCAUUCAAGGAAUACGCACAGCGGUGGAGAGAGCUUGCAGCUCGUGCCCAACCUCCUCUCCUUGACAAAGAACUAAUUGAUAUGUUUAUGGGAACUCUCCAUAAUCAAUACAUGGAAAAGAUGGUAGGAUCCAGCUUCCCAACUUUUGCUGAGGUUCUCUCCGUGGGAGAACGAAUUGAAAGCCAGAUCAAGAAGGGAAAGCUACCUUAUGCUGCCAAUGCUUCAAGUGGGAUGAAGAAACCUUAUCCCAAUCUCCCAAAGAAGCCAGAAGGUCAGACCAACGCCAUAAUGAGAGGAGGAGGAUAUAUGGCACCUCCGCAUGUUCAUAUGCCUUACAAUCAGGUUGCCGCUGUUUUCCCAACGCCAUAUCAGCCUCCAUAUCAGCAACCCUAUCAACAACAAUAUCACCAGCCUUAUCAACAGCCGGCUUACCAGCAGCCACAUCAGAAUCAACAGCAACGUGCUCCCCAACAACGUCAACCUAAUCAGCAGAGGGCAAGGAGGCCAGAAAGGCAUUUCGAUCCUUUGCCAGUGCCAUAUAGCAAGAUCCUCCCCUACCUGCUAAAGGAUGGAUCGGUUUUUCUAAAGGAGAUAACACCUACAACUCCACCAUAUCCUCCAGGCUACGACGCCAAUGCUCACUAUGAGUAUCACAUGGGUGCUCCAGGGCACACAAUAGAGAACUGUAAGGCUUUCAAGCACAAGGUUCAGGACCUGAUUGACAGUAAGGCAAUUACAUUCACGCUAGUUAGGCCAAACGUAGCAACCAACCCUAUGCCAGUGCAUGCAGAGUCGAGUGAAGCUCGAAGAUAAAGCUUCCCACCGGCCUGAACAAGCAGAACGAAUCCCAACGAAGAAUCAAGAGAUGAAGGCCUGUUCCUUUGAAUGAAGGCAAUCAUUAUGCCAGUUUUACCUUUUCGCACUCUUGUAAUUUGUUCUUGUUUGUUUAAAUACUGUAUGCUUUAAACAUUGUUAUUUGUAUUUGGUCUUAUUAAUGGGAUGAUUAUGCAUGCUUUGAAUCAAUCUUUCAUAUUCGCUCAUAUUAUCACAUUUGCAAAUCACAAACACAUACUUUUCCACUUCACCUCCUUUAUCACACUAUUGUUAGCAAAUGUUGGAAGGAGGAUGACGAAAACAAAAUACCCAUAAUUGUUGACUGUAUACUUUCGGAUAAAAUCCUGCUAAUGAUGUACAGGCAUUGUUUCAAAUCCCCAAACACUGGAGAGAUAAGGAGUUAAUCCCUAGUCAACAACUUUGAGCCUAGAAGUAGGAGUUUCUUUCGAAUCUAUAAAACCCUUACGCUUAACCUAGGGCAGGGUAGUGUUCAGUUGGUCUAACUACACUUUCGAAUUACAAGAUGAAAUAUCCCAUACAAGGGUCAAUCACAUGAUAUUCUUUGCACACAUCCUGAAGUGUCGAAGGAACCAUACAAAUCCAAAUUUUAUGUCGGUUGUUCUUCAAUGACCAAUGACUUGGCAGUCAUAAUUCAAAAAAAAAAAGGAAUCAAAGAAAAAGCCCGCUAAGUCAAACACCUUAAAAGGAGACUUAGGCAAAAACUGGGGCAAUCCCGAUGGAUUAAAGCUUCAAACAAAGCGGUCCAUGCAAAAGUUAGGGAUCAAAACAAAAAUCGAAAGAGACAAUGAAAGUCUCCAACAAAACAAAACAAGAUUCAGUGACCACCAUACCAAAAUCAAAGGGUCACCGACAUCCGAAAAACGAAAUAAGGUGGCUGCCAUUCCAAGAGACCUUGAAUCACCAUCUUUAUGCUUACACCCGCAAAAGUAAGUGUGUGCCGAAUUAACUGAACGUAGGAUUGGAGAUCAUCAUGAAGAAGGGGUGGGUUAAAAUAAACUUUGAGCCUUAUAUCCUUUUGUUUCAAUAACCAUGAACCAAGCCACGUUACAACCUUCAAAAGACCUAAUUGAAGUAAGGUUUAUUCUGAAAGCAUACUAUAGCAAGGUUGAGUAAACUGACUCCUAGAGAUUUGCUAAUAUUCUUUUUUCACUAUAUCACUCACACACUAGCAAAAUCAAGUAUCGCGUUUGGACACAUGGUCCACUCGUCACACACUACCACGACAUUCCAAAUGAAUGAUUGUUUUUCAAAACUUGCAUAACUAUUGCAUUAAAAUCACCAUUUCCUGAAUAACAAUUCUUAAUUGUCAGUCAGUGCUUGACAUCGAGAAAAUUCCAACAAGGGGCAAUUCAAGAGGCACUUGAUCGUUGGUGCUGACACGAAUCGAGACCAUCUCAUAAUCCCAUGGAUCAGGGGCGUGGCAUCUUUUGAUUAUAUUGACCUAAGAAGUAUUCAGCAUGAGACAAAUCUCCAAGCAUCGGUUGAUUAGGGAGGAAGAAGAUUUCAAUACUCAAUCCAUCUGGGGCAAGUCCCUCAAAGGCUAAUCAGGGGCAAACCAUGGCCAGAUUUAGACACUGAAAAAACUCAGACCAUGUCAUGAGAUAAUCAUUCCUAAGGUUCCCUUUCAAGGAGAAUUCCUUGAACACCCUAAUCAGGGGGCAAGACAAGUUACAAGGGGCAAAUUCCCUUCAUAUCUUCAAGUCAGUCAAGCAGAUCACGUCAGACACUAGUGACUACUUGAAUUCACCACCAAGACGUCAAAAGUUCAUACCAGUACAACACCAUACCUUGACAAGAAUCCUUAGGGCACGUCAAAAGCACAUUCAUCAUGCGUUGAUCACGUCACUAUGCUCAGUCGUAGGCUGGCCAAACACUUCAAAAGAAGAACUGAGAUCUUCUCGAAGACAAAUACACAACAUAUCAGCAAGAGAUCAAACUUGGGGCACCAAGAGUAUCCGUGUCCACUGCGUGUUCACCAUAUCAUCAACUACCGAGUGUCGGGAAGUCAGAUCCUGUCACCAAUCAAGUGUCCAAUCCGCAGCGACAAUUACCAAAAAAAAAAACCAAAGCCCACCUGCUGGCACCCAUACAAAAACAAAUACAACCAUCACUGGUUUCCAGAAGAUACAUCGCCUUUGAAUAAGGGGGGCCAAUCCCAAACAAGCUAAUCAGUCUUUGCAUUCAAACAUACAUCACAUGCAUCACCUCAUACAUAACGCAUACAUGACAUUUAUGCAUAUAUCACGAGUCAAAAUCCAAGGUUUAGUCGUAGGCAUCCAGGCCAACCCUCAGUUGGGUCAUUAUUUUUCUCUGAGUGAGUUCCUACCCUACCAUAGGGAGUUCCCCAUCAAGUUACCUCCUUCAACCUUUUGUUGCAAAGACGUAUCCUCAGCUAAGUCAAACAUUGUUUCUUUAAACAAUUACCUUGUUUCACGUUGAACAUUCCUCAAAUGAGUCGUUUCAUGUAACCUUUUGUUGAUAGAAACUACAUCUCCCCAGAGAAUAUUUAUUCUGCAACCUUUUGUUGUUGAUACUCCAAGCGAGUCUUACCCAGUAAUGUUCUAAUACUACUCAACAAGUCGGGUUUACUGAACUUUGACAGUAGCCUUAUUUUUCCAAUAUUUUUCUCACUAUCAUCCUUUUGGUGAAAGUCCAUUGAGGAAUAAUAUUAAUCAUCGCCCUGUUUAUGAUAAUCGUUAUCCUUUUGGUAAUGAUAAAUCCUUAACAAUUGUAGUCUCACUGUCAUCCUUUUGGUGUCAGAGAUCCUUGAAGUUCUGGUCCAACCUUCAUCCUUUUGGUGAAUGGAGACCUCUCAUUAUUAAAGCUUAUUGUCAUCCUUUUGGUGGUAACAAGUUUUGUCGUUUGAUCUUACUGCUAUCCUUUUGGUGUCGGCGAUCCUUGGAGUUUUGGUCCAACCUUCAUUCUUUUGGUGAAUGGUGACCUCUGCAAUUAUUACAGCCUACCGUCAUCCUUUUGGUGUCGGCGAUCCUUGUGGUGAUAAGGAUCCUUGUCAUUUUGGUUCAACCAUCAUCCUUUUGGUGAUGACGUCCAGUUCAAUCUAAAGUCAUCCUUUUGGUGAUAGAGAUUAUGGGGUUUGGUUUAAGCUAUCAUCCUUUUGGUGAUGGUGACAUUUGGAAAGUCCAACAACACUGUCAUCCUUUUGGUGUCAGCAAUAUUUGAAGUCAUUAUAACUUAUUAUCAUCCUUUUGGUGGUAACAAGUUUCGAAGUUAUGAUCUCACCUUCAUCCUUUUGGUGAUGGUGAUUGUUGAUUCAUUAUCAUCCUUUUGGUGAUAACGAGUUCUGUUGUUUGUAUUAUAACUUAUUAUCAUCCUUUUGGUGGUAACAAGUUUCGAAGUUAUGAUCUCACCUUCAUCCUUUUGGUGAUGGUGAUUGUUGAUUCAUUAUCAUCCUUUUGGUGAUAACGAGUUCUGUUGUUUGUGGUACCUUCAUCCUUUUGGUGACAGUGAUCAUUUGAGUUAUGGGCUCAUUAUCAUCCUUUUGGUGAUAAAGGGUUUUGUUUUGAUCUUGCCCUCAUCCUUUUGGUGAUGGCGAUCAUUGAGUUUGUUUCAGCUUAUUAUCAUCCUUUUGGUGAUAACAAGUUUUGAAGUUAUGUCCUUAUUAUCAUCCUUUUGGUGAUAACAAGUUCUGUUUGUUUGAUCUUACUGUCAUCCUUUUGGUGUCAGUAAUGUUUAAGGUUAUUGACUUAUUAUCAUCCUUUUGGUGGUAACAAGUUUUGUUGUUGAUCAUACCGUCAUCCUUUUGGUGAUGGUGAUCAUUUGAGUCUAUUUUGACUUAUUAUCGUCCUUUUGGCGAUAACAAGUUUGGUCUUUUAAUUAUACCUUCAUCCUUUUGGUGAUGGUGAUUGUUGACUUAUUAUCAUCCUUUUGGUGAUGACAAGUUUUUGUCUUGACCUUACCUUCAUCCUUUUGGUGAUGGUGAUCAAUUGCGUUGUGUGCUUAUUAUCAUCCUUUUGGUGGUAACAAGUUUUGUCUUUUAAUUAUACCUUCAUCCUUUUGGUGAUGGUGAUUGUUGACUUAUUAUCAUCGCUUUUGUGAUAACAAGUUUUUUCCUUGAUCUUCCUCAUCCUUUUGUGAUGGUGAUCAAUUGCGUUGUGUGCUUAUUGUCAUCCUUUUGUGAUAACAAGUUUUGUCUGAUCUUACAUUCAUCCUUUUUGAUAACAAGUUUUUGUUGUUUUAACGCUUACUUCAUCCUUUUGGUGAUGGUGAAUUGGUUGACUUAUUAAUCAUCCUUUUGUGGUAACAGUUUAUUUUGGUCUUGACCUUCAUCCGUUUGGUGAUGGGAUCGUUUGAGUUUUAGUGCUUAUUUGUCAUCCUUUUGGUGAUAACAAGUUUUAAAAGUUUCUUUCUUACCCCUGCCAUCCUUGUGUAUGGUUAUCAUUUAAGGUGUCGUGAACUUUUAUCAUCCUUUUGGUGGUAACAAGUUCUGUUUAGAUAGUACCUUCAUCCUUUUGGUGAUGGUGAUUGUUUUGACUUAUUAUCAUCCUUUUGGUGAUAACAAGUUUUGUCUUGUAGCUUACCUUCAUCCUUUUGGUGAUGGUGAUCAUUGAGUUUUGACUUAUUAUCAUCCUUUUGGUGAAAACAAGUUUGUUGUGUGACUAUACCUUCAUCCUUUUGGUGAUGGUGAUCAUUGAAGUUAUUCGACUUAUUAUCAUCCUUUUGGUGAUAACAAGUUUCGUUGUUGGAUCUUACCUUCAUCCUUUUGGUGACGGUGAUCUUUGAAGUUGACGAUUUAACUAUCACCCUUUUGGUGAUAGCCUGGAUAUUAUACUCUCGGUAAUGGGAAACUUUAUCAGAAUAACCAUCAUCCUUUUGGUGAUGGAAAUCUUUGGAUUGUGUCUAACUUUCAUCCUUUUGGUGAUAGCGAGAUUUGUUGUUGAUCUUACCAUCAUCCUUUUGGUGAUGGGGAUCGUUGUUGUAUCCACUAUAACCAUCAUCCUUUUGGUGAUAACUACUUCUGAAGCUCAGCUUAUCCAUCAUCCUUUUGGUGAUGACGAUCCUGAAAAUCAUGGUGAGUUACUAUCAUCCUUUUGGUGAUAGCAAUUAACUCUACUGUCAUCCUUUUGGUGCCAGAGAGCCUGUUCAGUUUUAGUCCCACAUUUGUCCUUGCAUCAAUAACGACCUUUACAAGAUUCGAGUGUCGACUCGAGGGUUGGCAUUGAUUUGGCAUUCUACCCCCAUUACCUUGGUGCUGUUAGAAUCCAUUGCAUUUUUUUUGCAUUUCUCCAUUGCAUUGCAAAGGACAAAAUUUGGGUCCUUUCGUAUUUAAUUACCUUCCACCACGAAUGUAUGAAGACCGUUGUCAUUCUUACCUUCUAGUUCAAGAUAAUUAAAUAGGGGGAGCUGUCGUACCCCAAUUUUGUCCGGGCAUAUUUAAAUUUUUGUAAAAUUGAUUUCAUUUUUUAAUUCAGCAUCAUAUGCACAGCAUGGCAUACAUUUCAUCACGAGAAUACCUCAUUUUAGUUUCCUAUCACUAUUAUGCCAUUUCCAUACUACCUAGAAACAUGCAUUUCAUAAAAUCCAUUUCAUCUAAGAGUAUGAUUUAUUAUAUGAAAGCGAGAAAAAGGAUAUAAUGAAAGGAUACUUCUUGAGGUGGGAUACUAGUAUGGAUCAAGGUCAUGUUUGAGUUUCAUCUUGACAGCACCAUAAUACUAAAUCCAUAAGCAAAAUCAUGAACAUGGUUGUUUGAGAACAUUGUUUACUUUAUUUUUGCACCUGGUUGAACCAAAUUGACAAAAGUUGACGAGAUAUUAAAUGAAUGACUUAAAUUCAUCAUUUUUGUUAUUCAUUUAUAAUCAUCAUUCCCUAGGCCACGAAUUAAGAGGUCUUUAGGAUAAAGACCAAGUGUUCAAACGUGCAUCAAAUGGUUAGGAACUCCAAAAUACAAUAUGGCACGGUUUAAAAGUAUCAAUGUAGAAUUACAUUAGCUGAACAAGUUUUGGUUUUUUAUAAACAUAAUUGUUUCAAUUACCAUUAACAGGAACACAUCAUACAAUCAAUCAUAAGCAGCCUUAGUUCCUAAGUGACGUUAUAAGCCAAGCCAAAAUGAAAAGUACAUUUAAAAAAAAAGACCGAAGCUACGUCAAUUUGCAAUGACUGCACCCUGCACUCUAUUCUUCGAAUCACCCCAAGAAGUCACAAGAUAUGUCCUAACGAGCAGGUCCAACAUGCACAAUCCAAAGGGCCUGUCACACGUCAUGCUAACCAUAGUGAGAAAGGUUAGAGCCAAGCAGAAAAAUUAAUCGAUAUCGUCACAAAACCCCCCGCCAUUUACAUUUCCUUAUAGACCCCCGCUCACAAAAAAAAACCCCCGCAGCUGAUGCCAUUUCAACAUGCGUUUCACUCACUUGCUAGGCCCUGUAGAAAAACAAAGUACAGGCGAAUGUUAAAAGAUUUCUGCUAUAGAAAUAAGGGAAAUCAUUAAGAAAAUUGAUUCAUGAAUCACCACUCAAUCCAUGAUCAAACCGACAUGUAUACAACCAGCAAGGGAAAAACGAAUCAUUGGCAUUAUAAGAUAAAUCCAUUACAUGAGCUUCCAAAUGGCUAUGCUGCGUAUUUUCCAUGACCAUCUUGUAGCAGGAAACUAAACUAUGACAAAGACCUGUUACGUUGGAACCUGUUAUCAAACAUGACGCACGGAUUAGGAUGGCAAUCACGUUGACCAGACCUGCCACAAACCCGCUGCAGGACCUGAUAUAAAAGCCAAUGGGUGAGGAAAUCUUCAGCAAGAUAGCAGGAUCGAUAAAAUUAGCAGGCCUAACUGUAGAACCCAACCUGCAACGUGAAGAAUUAGCCAUGCAUCAGCCGUAAUGAGACCUGCGGUAGUCACAUACCACGAUUAAACCAAGGUACCUAUUGUCGAAGUAUAAAUCAAGCAUCAAAGGAAGGUUCAACAAAAAGUCUCAGCAAUGCUCACAAGAAAAUUCCAAGGCAUAUUAGUUAGCAUAUUCAAUGAUCAAUUUCAAAACGCUAGUCAAGCAACAUACAUCAAAAACAUUGCAAGUAUCAAUGCACUUCAGUAUAAAGGCAAUAACACACAACAAUCGAGCAUUUCAAAUUGCAGUCAUACACGAUAAUACAAAGUCUAUCAUUCAAUGUUACAAGCCUGGCAGGAGAGAAUCAUAUUGUGACCUGUAACAUAAAGGCAACAAUUCACCUUGAUCAAUCAAUCAGUUUGCACUGCCUUGCUUCCAUCCGAAUUACCAACCUGAAAUUGUCAAGCAAUGUGCAUCAAUCCAAAACAUGCAACCUGCACUAACUACAACCAACACAUAUAACAUUGCCUAACCUAAUUCACAAAGGUUCAAUUCACUGCAAUUAACUAGGUCAACAUUUGAGGGUAAAGUUUCUCGGGACGACAUCAUUCAUGUGAAGCCCAAUUCCACUCAAGUUGCAACCUACGAUAAUCAGGCAAGGCAAAACCCUGAAGCUGCAUAGCCAUAAUACUUGCCCAACAUUCCCCUGCAUCCAUUUCUGCAAACUGUGCCAGCUUGUUUCAAAGCCUGCAUUAUCAUCCAAGUCAAAAAGCCCAAACUUGCAGCAUGCCCUUGGUUUUCCACACCAUAAAUCACAUGUCCUGCAACGGGUACCCAUUUAAUUCCAACAUGAGCAACAUAUCUACCAAAUCAAGCACUAGCGAAUGCAGCAUCAUUUUGAUAAUCAUGAGACCUGCGAAAAUUCAAGAAUUACAUGACGGUGAAAUGAAAAGUUCUUAUCGUGACAUGUAGAUCUUUCACUGUAAUGAAUACGAAACUCAAAAUAAACGUGUUUGAGAGAUUUCGCUACAGACAGAGCUUAAACCUUAAUACCUUCAUUUUGGGGACCACGUCAAAAAGGAGGACCACCAAAUCUGGACGAGAUUCUUUUGGCUAACGGAUUGAUUCAAGAAAUCUCUGCCAGCUCAUGAUUUGAAGACCUCAUUUCACUCUAUAAAAGAGGGAUCUAGUUGAUUGGAAAGGAAAAGAAGAAAAAACACCGUCACUCUGUUGAAAUCCCAAACGAACCUCACACCGAAAGGCUCCGCUAAAACUCUGUAUUUCAACUCUGAUUUUCACACUGAAAAUCAGGGUUUGAAGAGCUUGACCCCCUCAAUCGCGUACAAACAACAACGACAAGAGAAUAAAGAAGAAGAUCAGAAUCGGACCGGAUGCGGAAGGAGAUACACGAAGAGGAAAGAAACAAAAUUUUACCUGAACGUCUUGGUAGUAUAUCUCUUGCUUUAAAACUUCACUACGCCUAACACGAUUUGAAACUGUAUCUUUUAUCGCACACCAUUAUUUCUGAAAUUCGUAGCUAGAUCUGAUUGAAGUACUCUUUUUAUUUGUUCAUGCUUGUUUAUGCUUGUUCCUCCACUUGAAUCAGAAUAAUCGGUAGAUAUUUAACGAAAAUGGGGGUGGAUUCGAUUUUAGGAGAAAAUUUAAGAUUGGGUUUGUGUUGAGACUUUCGUGUUUGAGGAACGGCACCGCCAGUCUUCUCCGAUGAGAAUGGCGGAACAGGGGAAUAGCCGAACUCAUUUUGUUUUUGUUCUCUAUUUUAGGAGAAAAUUUAAGAUUGGGUUUGUGUUGAGACUUUCGUGUUUGAGGAACGGCACCGCCAGUCUUCUCCGAUGAGAAUGGCGGAACAGGGGAAUAGCCGAACUCAUUUUGUUUUUGUUCUCUUUCUCCGAAUGUGUUCAUUUUUCUUUAUAUUUUAUGAUAAGUUUUAAUAGCCUUAAUUGAGAUUAAAUGUCCUGGCUAUUGCGUUGGUUGAAUAAUCAUUCUGUUUGAAGAUAGAUUCCUGGAUAUACGUGUUUACCAACACAGACUGUUGGUGUACCAAAGCUGGGUGGGCACCACGUGGCCGCAACCCCUUUUCUUUUACUGGUUCAAACGCUGUUCGAUUCGUUUUGAGUUUUUAUUCAUCUUUUCAUUUGCUUUUAUUAGAAUAGUUGAUAAUAGUAGUAAUAAUUUGAGUUUUAAUUCAUUUUUUCAUUUGCUUUUAUUAGAAUAUUAUAGUUAAUUAAAUAAGAAAGUUUAAUUACUAAUAUUAAGAAAAUGAUCCUUUUUGUUGUUUCAAAAAAAAUGUAAUUAUCUUGGUCCAACGCUAAGUAUUCCCGUUUAAAGCCCAAUUGACGCUAAUGAAUUCAAAUCCACAUCCUUUCUUUAUCAAUAUAUUCCUCAAAACUGUUAAUUCUACAUUUUUUUGGAUGAAAAGUAGAAUAGUAAGCCUCUGCUUUACCAUCUCUCGACUAUUCGAAUAAUUGGCGUACGCCAUAUUGCUCGGAUCUUCGUCAUUCAAUAAAAAUUCAAAACUGUUAAUUCUACAUUUUUUUGGAUGAAAAGUAGAAUAGUAAGCCUCUGCUUUACCAUCUCUCGACUAUUCGAAUAAUUGGCGUACGCCAUAUUGCUCGGAUCUUCGUCAUUCAAUAAAAAGACAUAGGAAGCGUUCGCUUCACUAUUUCUCAAGCACUUGAAUAAUUGGCGUACGCCAUAUUGCUCGAGUUCUUGUCACACGAUUAAAACAUCAAACCAUAACAUUUCAAAUCAUUUUUUUAAUCAACUACAAGUUCUACAACCAUUUAAUUCUAAAUUUCCAAUAAUAAAAGGAUAGGAGGCGUACGCCUCACUAUCUUUCGAUUAUUCGAAUAAUUGGCGUACGCCACAUUGCUCGAAUCUUCGUCAUCAAUUUAAAAUGCAAUCGAAUAAACUCAAAUCACCUCUUAUAUGAAAUCCAAUUUUACAAAAUAAACUAUAUAACUUAAACUUCAAUUGAGAAUGGGAGGCGUUCGCCUCACCAUUCCUUGAUUAUUUGAAUAAUUGGCGUACGCCAUAUUGCUCAAACAAUCGACUUUCCAAAACCUACCAACCCAAAUUCACAUUAUCUUCGCAAAUCGAAUACAAACAUCUAAACAUAUCUUUUACAUUAAACUUUGGAUGACAAAAGAUGGGAGGCAUUCGCCUCACAAUCUCUUGAUUAUUUGAAUAAUUGGCGUUCGCUGUAUUGCAAAAUUAUCGACUUCCGAUUAAGAUACUUUAAAUAAACUUGGAUAAGGGAAUAGGUGGCGCUCGCCUCAUUAUUCUUUGAAUAAGCAAGUAGGAGGCGUACGCCUCACUACCACGCAUAUUCGACAUCCGCAAACGAACUUUCAAAAUAAUUCGAACGAAAAAAGGAGUAGAAGGCGGUCGCCUUAUUAUUCCUCGAAAGAAUUGGAUGAUUGGUGUACACCAUAUUGCUCAAUCUUUUGUCGUUCUUCAAAAACACCUUAACAAAUCAACCUAACUUCUCGCCCCCGCGCGAUCGAAACAAAUCAAACAAAAACACCCAAACACAUCAAUACAACUUGUCACCCCCGUGUCAUACCCCAAUUUUGGUCCUGAAUUGUUUCCAUUUUUUCAUUUUUAUUUGGCACUCGGCCUAAAGUUCAUUUGCAUACAUUCAUGACCAAAGGCAACCGUCCAUUCCCAAAUCCAUAUUUUUUGUUACACAUUGGUCAUUGUCUAGGCCUUUUUGAUCAUGGUGUUUUUGGUUAUAAAAUGGAUUCUAAAUAUUUGACUUUUUAUUUUCAAUUUGAUUUUAAUUAAGUCUAAUUCCAAAUUUCAAUUUAAUCUUAAUUGUGUUUUUACUAAUGAUUCAAACUCUAAUUGAUUUUUAAUUUCCAAAUAAAUGUUAGAAUUUGAUAUCAAAGUAGUUUAACAAAUUAUAGAUUAUUUUAUUUAAUUGGUUUUUAUUGGUUUUUGAUUUUUAAUUGACAUUUAGAUUAGGCUGAUUAUUUCUAAAAAAUCCAUAUCCAUUUUAUAACCAAACACCCAUUUCAUAAACCAAGGCUCACCAUUUUAUUACAUUUUUACAAACACUUCAACCAAGUUCAAAUUAAUCACAAAUUCAUUUCAAAAUUCCAUACCAUUUCUCCAAAUUCAAAUCAAAUCAAGUUUCAACCGAAUUUUCAUUCAUUCAUUAAUACCAUACAUUCAAAAUCAUAUUCAACCAUACAUUCAUAUCUAAGUCAUUACAUAACCAUGAACCAAAUUGCAACAUACAUAUCUACAUAAACCAUGACAUUACACAAGCAUUACAACAUUUUCAUGAAUUACAAAGUCAUGUUCCAAAUUACAUUUCACAACAUUUUCUUACAAGUUCAUCAUAUUAAAUAAAUCCUACAAGUACAAUCCAAGGAAAUACUCCAUCUAGGUCUUUGAACUCCGGAAUUUCAAUGUUAAUACCAAGCUACAACUAAAAUUCAAAUCUUCGAGAAAUCGAAUCCAGCAUCAGAGCAAGGUAAAACGGAUAUUAAAGAGGAGGCAUUCUCUUGGGUUUGAAAGCCAAAAAGAAAUAGAGUUAGAGGAGCUUUUUGAUUUGAUGCAGAUCCAUCUCCUAGUAAAACAUAAUUGCCUUUUUAAAACAGCCUCCUAUCCAAUGCGCUUCGUAGCCGCAUCCAAACACCAUUUCAUUUGUCUUGGACCCUGCAGUAGACAACAAUCACCAAGCCUCAUUUGAGCAAAAAACUGCAGUGGAAACAUGUUUCAAAAGUAUAACCACCAUGAUUCUCAAAUCUGCUACAAGUCCAAGUACUCGAGCCACCAACCUACCAAAUCGAUCAAGGAAGCGAAGUGUCAAAAUAAAUAUUCAAGCAAAGCUUACUUCAAGAGUUUUCAAGUCAAGUUUCAGAGAAGAGAUGCUUAUGCGCAAGAACAUUCCUUACUAUGGUCUGAAAGUAGGUCUUACCAACUGUGUGCAGCCAUAUGUUUGACAGAACUCCAAUUUUAAAAAUGCUGAACUAUAUACAAUAGCCAUAACUGUUUUGCUCUGCUGAUUGGCUGUGUGCAGCCAUAUGUAAUCAUUUGAGCUGACUUUAAUGCUCAGUUCAGGAAGGAGGAUCGGUUAUUAUGUUAACAUUAGCAUCUCCUAGGACUGCAAGACACAAAAUCGUGAUCGAGAAACCUCACCCCUCAUUCCUACAAACAUCAAUAUGUACAAGAUUGAAUUAAAUUAAUCAAGUUGAUAUUUGGAGAUACCGAGGAUGAGAGCCUACCAGCGCAAAGUACUUUCUUCCAUAGAUCAAAUAGAAUAUCUCAAUGCAAGCAUGACCGACGUGCAGAAUUGAGUCGGGAGUCUCGAGAUGGUCGUGAGAUGUUUGUUUACAAUAAUGAUCCCAAGGUAAAAUUGAAGAUGGUGUCAAAGUACCAGAGAAACAUGUGACAUCCGAGUCCGUCGAUGGAGCUCCGGUUUUCAAUCUAAGGCACUGCAAAAGGACACUGCCUCACAAUAAGAACACAGGAAGUCUGCAAGUACAUAAGUUGUGAACAAUUGGGUCAAUUAGUGUGAAUAUAGCAGGAUACUACACUUGAUUAAUUUAAGAAGUAAUGUCGACUCAACUCCAAAAAUUUGAAGGUGACAUUACUCUUAGUAAAACCUGAGAUACAAUAUGUCGCCAUGUGAAAUGCCAAUCUUAUGGUACAAAGAAGACCGGAAAUUCCUGCACAUGAAAUAAAGAAGUCAUUAUGUAAAUGAAAUAUAACAAUAGCAUCUCCCAAUCCAACACAUACGAGUCUAUGACUGCAACUCGUCGGCACCUUGGAUAAGCCCGAAGCCAAGGCAUCAAUGAUUUGGGCAGUUGGCGAAUAUGCGAAAAAAUAUGUCUCCUGAAGAAACAAAAGAUAAGCAUAAUAAGUUUGAUAAACUAGAACCAUCAACCCUGUCAUGGACUUGAAUCUGCAACAAACAAUAAAAGGCCAAUGGUUAACCUGCACGGUUUCACUGCAGUAAAAGCAAAUUAGCCAAGGAAGUUAAUAAUUUGAAAAUCUCAAAAUGGAAUGGAGACAAAAUUCGAAGAAAAAGCACAGGUUCGGAUUACCUUUUCCAGAACAAGCAUCAAAGAGGCAAUCCGUUUCUGAGCACCAAAAGGACUUUGCAGAGAUGCUUGUUUUAAUCUACCACACAACAACGAAACCCUAAUCUGCAAGAUAUAAAAAUGGAGGUGAGGACGGCAAGGAGAAAAAACGAAAAAAUUCGGAGGCGAACAAGAGACUGAAAAACCCUAACUUCUAAAACACCACAAAAACCCUAAUCCCAAAAUCAAAACAAACCUGGACGGAAGAAGAGAAGAGAUUUUCGACGGCAACUGAAAAAACCAGAAAAGAGACGAAAAAACCAGAAGUUUGCAAGCUCACUGCCACCGCAGGAUUCCUCGCCGAAGGUGAGUUUUAUCCGUUUAAAUCUCGUGAAAAACCUUUGUUUUUGUUGGCAUGUAGAGUGAAGUUUGUGGAUAAAAUGGAGGUCGAGAGAUGAUGCGCGUUUGAGAGAGAGAAAUUGAGGGGGAGAAGGCGCGAUUGGGAGAGAGGAUGACGAGAUUGAGGGGAUGAGAAUGAGGAAACAGGAGAGAGUCUUCGUGAAGAAGACGAAUGGACUUUGAGUGUUUCACGUGUUUCUGUUCCCAAAUUUCUUUUAUUUACUUUUAAGAAAAUAGUAUUUAAAAUAUGAUUAAAGACCAUUUACCUUUGGUAUUCCUUGGCAUUAAUUUAAUUAUUGGUAAUGUUGUUUAGUGCACCUUUUAAUUUCUCUUUGGAAACCCAACAGCCAGGCGGCUGGGUUUUUUUUUGGUAAUCCAACAGACCUUUUUUUAUUAUUAUUUUAGUUUCUAUUUUUUUUUUAAAUUUUUUAUUCCAAUCUUUUCUGGUUUAUAUACCCAAGUUGUUAUUAUAAGUAAUAACUAAUCAUAAGUGGCCUAGUGGAGAGAGGGCAGUUUCAUGGCCUUUAGUGGAGUGGGUAUCGAUACUUGGAGAUAGCAAAUCUUUGUGUUUAUACUUGUUAUGCUUACUAUCUUAUUUAAUUUCUUUUUCUAUUUAGUAUCUUGCUAUUUAUUUUAAUUUUGUAUUUUUUAGUUUGAUUCGAUUGUUAACUAAUUUAGUUAGGUUAUUAAUAUACGUGUCCAUACUUUUACACGUGUAAAUAAUCAUACUCAAAUUUCACUCGAUUUUAAGAUCGAUGUCAACUUUCCUCAAUUUCAAAAUACAUUCCAAAAAUAAAUGUGAAUCAUUUCAAGAUCAUUUCACAAAUAAAACAUAAUAUUCAAACCCUUUUAUAAAACGUGAAGAAAAAGAUUAUCCUGGAGGAAAUAUCCAGUCAUAAUCCCGAAUAUUAGGCUCAAGCUGUAAGAGCUUGCAAGCCGUUAAUAUUCGUCUUCUCUUUAACACUCCAAUAUUCAAAUUGUUUUCUAAAUAAAACGUGAAGAAAAAGCUUAUCCUGGAUGGAAUAUCCAGUUAUAAUCCCGAAUAUUAGGCUCAAGCUGUAAGAGCUUGCAAGUCGUUAAUAUUCGUCUUCUCUUCAACACUCUAAUAUUCAAAUCGUUUUCUAAAUAAAGCGUGAAGAAAAAGAUUAUCCUGAAGGGAAUAUCCAGUUAUAAUCCCGAAUAUUAGGCUCAAGCUGUAAGAGCUUGCAAGCCAUAAAUAUUCGUCUUCCCUUCCACACCCUAAUACUCAAAUCACCUUCUUAUUAAAACGUGAAGAAAAAGAUUAUCUUGGAUGGAAUAUCCAGUUAUAAUCCCGAAUAUUAGGCCCAAGCUGUAAGAGCUUGUAAGUCAUAAAUAUUCGUCUUCUCACCAAAAUAUCCGUAAAUAUCUCAAAUCACCUUCUUAAUAAAAGUUGGAAAAAAAAGAUUACCUGGAUGGAAUGUCCAGUCGUAAUCCCGAAUAUUUGGCUCAAGCUGUAAGAGCUUGCAAGCCAUAAAUAUUCGUCUUCCCUCCAAAACACUCGUAAAUAUUCGAAUCAUUUUCUUAACAAUAUUGGAAAGAAACGGACUGCCUGGGUGGAAUGUCUAGACGUAGUCCCGAGUACUAGACCCAAGUUGUAAGAGCUUGCAAGUCAUAAGUACUCGUCUUUCAAACUCCAAAAUACUUAAUCCCUAUCUUAACCUCUUUCAAUAAAGAUGGAAAUGGAACAUGGUGUAUACCGUGCACUCAUGAGGCUAGGAUUCGAGAUGUAUAUCUCGCUCAUCCAAGUUCUCGCCAUCACUCAAUAUACAUCCAACCAAUCAAACUCUUUUCUCGCUGCCGUGCGAUUAAUCAAAAACCUUUUUUUUUCAUAAAUGGAAGAUAUAUCGUCUUAAGAUGAUGCAAAACAAUGUUUCGGCCACGAUUGUUGAGUCGAGAUAAGUGACGCUUUUCCGAAUGUAGAUUUAUAAAUCCGUUCGAUGUGUGGUAUGCGUCCACUCCUCAUCUGUUUUGGUAAACAAUUUUUCGUCGAUUAAUACAAAUCAACUUUCGCUAAAUCGACCAACAAACAAACAUUUUUCUACCCAGAACUACGUAAGCCUUGAUUUCUCUUUUGAAUACGUAGGAGCAGAUUCGUAAAUCUUGUCAGGCCCACUAAUAAAAAUUUAGGUUUUAGUCCUUCGUCAAAAAUCCAAAAACAUUCUCUUCUCAUCCUUCUUUCUUCCCACCUAAUGAUUCGAAAAGCCUAACAUUCAACUAACACUAACGCACACAACUAACCUAAUGGUUCCCGUUGAGUACAACGGACGUGAGGGGUGCUAAUACCUUCCCCUUGCGUAAUCGACUCCCGAACCCUGAUUUGGUUGCGACGACCAUAUCUUAUACUUUCUUUUAGGGGUUUUAUCGAUAUUUUCCCUUUCCCAUUUUUUGGGAAUAAAUAAAGUUCGAUGGCGACUCUGUUCAGUCCAUCAUUGCGAGCGUGCGAUCGCGCUUCGCUUAAAGUCGUAUCCCCAUUUUUUCGAGGUGCGACACCCCGCGUGACCAAAACCCUUCUCAAAAGAACACUGUCAAUCCUUUCUAAUACGCACAAUAAACCAGUGCUAGAGCCUCCCCCGAGAGUAGACAAGCCAGCGUUUAGCCGUUAGAACGCCGACCUACACAGUCGUUCAUCAAAAUAAAACACACCAAAUAUUCAUAGUAGCCCAAACUACGAAUGCUCUGAUUUCCUUAUUGCACCAUAAGGAUAUGUAGGCAGGAGAUUGUUGUAUCUUCGCGAGCACACUAAUAAAAAACCUCCCAUUUCCCCCUCCUGAGGUCUUCAUCCAUAUCUAUCAUCAAUUCUAAUUACUCGAAGCAAGUGAAUAACAUUCAACUAACAGUCAAAUAGAAAAUCAGACUAAAAGGUUCCCGUUGAGUACAACGGACGUGAGGGGUGCUAAUACCUUCCCCUUGCGUAAUCAACUCCCGAACCCGAAUAUGGUUGCGACGACCAUUAUUCUUAUUUCUAAAGGUUUUCUCGAUAUUUUCCUAUUCCUUCAUUGGGAUAAAUAAAGUUCGGUGGCGACUCUGUUUCGAACUAACAUUUUCCCGCGUUCCAUCGCGAGGGAUCGCAUUAGCAUUUUUUCGAGGUGCGACACCUGCACACUUAGAGAAUUUUAUCAGGGUACCAAAAUGUUUCAUCCUUUGUUAUCAUGAAAACUUAAAGAUAAAUUGCAGAACCAAAAUCUUGUUCUGACAACAUAUAUUUUCUUUGAUUUUGAUGAUGAACCACUUUUCACACUAAUAAUGUUGUUGAGACUUAUAAUGCCAAGUAUUUUAUAAAUUUUGCUGCUUAUCAAACGAUUUCAUUUUUAAUUAUGUGGUUCAAAUAUGAGUUUGAUUGUUGUUGAGUAGAAUCAUACUUGGGGAAUACGUGUGUUUUAAAUGGUUUAUUUAAUUAUUUGACGAGUCAGAAAGUAGGGUGUUACAGAUGUCGCCCGUACUGCUUUACCUAUAGUCUAAUAAAUUCCCACCUGAUGUAGGAGAAGCGAAAAAAUAUCAGAAGAAAAGCUUC